AUUGAACGCUGGCGGCAGGCCUAACACAUGCAAGUCGAGCGAGCGGCGGACGGGUGAGUAAUGUCUGGGAAACUGCCUGCUGGAGGGGGAGAACUACUGGAAACGGUAGCUAAUACCGCAUACAAUCAGGUGUGCCCCGAUGGGAUUAGCUAGUGGGUGGGGUAACGGCUCACCUAGGCGACGAUCCCUAGCUGGUCUGAGAGGAUGACCAGCCACACUGGAACUGAGACACGGUCCAGACUCCUACGGGAGGCAGCAGUGGGGAAUAUUGCACAAUGGGCGAAAGCCUGAUGCAGCCAUGCCGCGUGUGUGAAGAAGGCCUUCGGGUUGUAAAGCACUUUCAGCGGGGAGGCGUUACCCGCAGAAGAAGCACCGGCUAACUCCGUGCCAGCCGCCGCGGUAAUAC
rnacentral:rRNA from 1 species